AACGAACGCUGGCGGCAUGCCUAACACAUGCAAGUCGAACGAGACCUUCGGGUCUAGUGGCGCACGGGUGCGUAACGCGUGGGAACCUGCCCUUAGGUUCGGAAUAACUCCCCGAAAGGGGUGCUAAUACCGGAUAAUGUCUUCGAACCAAAGAUUUAUCGCCUUUGGAUGGGUCCGCGUUGGAUUAGCUAGUUGGUAGGGUAAAAGCCUACCAAGGCGACGAUCCAUAGCUGGUCUGAGAGGAUGAUCAGCCACACUGGGACUGAGACACGGCCCAGACUCCUACGGGAGGCAGCAGUGGGGAAUAUUGGACAAUGGGCGAAAGCCUGAUCCAGCAAUGCCGCGUGAGUGAUGAAGGCCUUAGGGUUGUAAAGCUCUUUUACCCGGGAUGAUAAUGACAGUACCGGGAGAAUAAGCUCCGGCUAACUCCGUG
rnacentral:rRNA from 1 species